AUGGCCGGUCUACCUCCUGCUACUAAUGUGGAGCUGCUCCACCAGUGGUGGCGCACUACUACAUCAGGUCCAUAGUCCAGUAGUACUGUAUGUUGUUAUGUUUGUGCCUAAUGUUUGUCCAACUGGGGGAGGACAAAAGAUCUUGCAAUGUGGCAUCCCUUAGACUGCUCUUGCCCAUAAUGGAUGCUGCCUCCUCACACUGUUUUCGUCUGCUGGGAUACUCACUUCCCGUCAGUGCAUGCUUCACAUUGGAAUUUGUGAUAAGGAUGACCAGACCGGGAUCAGCCAGGGGAACAGCAGUGGCCUCCAAUGAUCUGAGAUGGAUCAGAAAAAAUAGAAAAUAGCAUCUGGAGAAUCUACCUGCAGUCAAUAAGCAACGCAUGGCCCUCUUUGCCUAGCACUGAAAUAAACUGGUCCAUAAUACCACAGGGUACUCCAGCAUGAGUAUGCUCUGCCUUCUGGCAUGCUAGUGC